GAUGAACGCUGACAGAAUGCUUAACACAUGCAAGUCCACUUGAAUUUGGGUUUUUUAACUUAGUUCUGGGUGGCGGACGGGUGAGUAACGCGUAAAGAACUUGCCUCACAGCUAGGGACAACAUUUGGAAACGAAUGCUAAUACCUGAUAUUAUGAUUAUAAGGCAUCUUAGAAUUAUGAAAGCUAUAUGCGCUGUGAGAGAGCUUUGCGUCCCAUUAGCUAGUUGGAGAGGUAACGGCUCACCAAGGCGAUGAUGGGUAGCCGGCCUGAGAGGGUGAACGGCCACAAGGGGACGGAGACACGGCCCUUACUCCUACGGGAGGCAGCGGUGGGGAAUAUUGGACAAGGGACCAAGAGUCUGAUCCAGAAAUUCUGUGUGCACGAUGACGUUUUUCGGAAUGUAAAGUGCUUUCAGUUGGGAAGAAAAGAAUGACGGUACCAACAGAAGAAGUAACGGCUAAAUACGUG
rnacentral:rRNA from 1 species